rnacentral:rRNA from 1 species
GAUGAACGCUGGCGGCGUGCCUAAUACAUGCAAGUCGAGCGAACAGACGAGGAGCUUGCUCCUCUGACGUUAGCGGCGGACGGGUGAGUAACACGUGGAUAACCUACCUAUAAGACUGGGAUAACUUCGGGAAACCGGAGCUAAUACCGGAUAAUAUAUUGAACCGCAUGGUUCAAUAGUGAAAGACGGUUUUGCUGUCACUUAUAGAUGGAUCCGCGCCGCAUUAGCUAGUUGGUAAGGUAACGGCUUACCAAGGCGGCGAUGCGUAGCCGACCUGCGAGGGUGAUCGGCCACACUGGAACUGAGACACGGUCCAGACUCCUACGGGAGGCAGCAGUAGGGAAGCUUCCGCAAUGGGCGAAAGCCUGACGGAGCAACGCCGCGUGAGUGAUGAAGGUCUUCGGAUCGUAAAACUCUGUUAUUAGGGAAGAACAAAUGUGUAAGUAACUAUGCACGUCUUGACGGUACCUAAACAGAAAGCCACGGCUAACUACGU